rnacentral:hammerhead_ribozyme from 1 species
CUACAAUUGAUCAGUUCCAAAUAGGACGAAACGCGCGUCCUGGAU